AAAGAAAUAUCCAAAAGAAGCUUCUAACUUCUUAGAGAGCAAAAUCUUGUUCAU
rnacentral:tRNA from 1 species